CAGAAUGAGUGAUUGGGUCAGAUAAUAGUGACACUCAACAUGGAGAUUUCAGUCCGCCCGUCACUUUUCUAUCAUCAUACCAAAUUUGAAAGAUAGAACUACACUAUCAUUAUAGAAAUAUAGAUAUAAGAAGAUGUGGUAUGUUGAUCAGAGCCAAAAUGUGUAAUGCUAAGUGCUUUUGAUCAAUCCAAUGUGACUUUAGUCUUGACCUAUGUUAAGGUGUUACCCUUCCUACUUUCUUUUCCAUUGAAAAUCCAUAAUAUAUUUGUUUAAAUAUGAAUAAAAAGAAGAUGAAAGGUAUGUUAAGAAGGGAGGGUCAAAAAUUAUUGUCAGAAAGGGACUGACAAAGUCAAGUACACACAGCUUGCUUUGCUAAUUAUCUUUCUAUUUACUAUAGCACUUCUAUUUUAUCUUUCAACUAUAUGAAAUUAAAAGAGAAUAC
rnacentral:lncRNA from 1 species